UUUUUUUUUCACUGAGAGUAUAGCCAAAAACUGCAGAUCUCUUCUCUGAAGCCUUUACAAACCCUCCCCUACUAACACAGCUCAGAUUUUCUGUGGCUGUGCAAUCAUAGACUUCCCAAUACAGCUCAAUGAGAGGUCUUCACAAGACAGGUGCUCUGGGCAAAUGACUGGGUCUUGAGUUUCGCUCCAUUAAGCUAAGUAAAAGGACCAGUUUUCUGACUG